CUCGCUGCAACCUCUGCCUUCCGAGUUCAGGCGAUUCUCCUGCCUCCGUCUCCCGCAAAUCUUUUUAUUUAGUGCUGUCACAGAUUGGGUUCUUUGGACUCGGACUCUGUGACAGGAUAUGGACUUUGGAUCGCCUUCAACCGAUACCCACAGCAGCAGCACAGGCACACCCUUUCCAGGCCAGGCCCUGCCUCAUCUGCUCCUGGGGAAAUCUACUCUUGCUGACCUGAGUGGUGGGACCUCAUCCCACACUAAGUCCCAGCCCCAACUCUGCCCUGAGGCCCUUCGUAACAAAGAGGCGGACACUUAAGUUUCCGUUAAGUUGUAGGAAUUUAUUUUAAAUAACCUACAGUUGAUUAAAAGGGAAUUCAUGAUAAAAAUAGAAGAUACUUGAGGAAAGAUGUGGGAAAUGGACUCUGCACACACACUAAACUAACAAUGCUUCUAAAACUAAUGAUUAUAGCAAAAAAUGUUUUCACAUUAAAAUUCUGCUUUUUAUGUUUUUUUCCCAUUUUUUACACAAUUACAAAAGAAAAAAUAAAAGCCCUAAAAUCUUGAUUAUUUUUCCUCUUUUUUGGACCAAAUACUCAUUUUCCUCUAAAUUUAUUGACCUGUGGAACUUUUUAUACAAUAAAAUCUUUCAAGUGAAAGAUUAGGGUUAAAAAGAAAAAGAUGGCUAUCUUAAAGGGUACAGCGAAUGCUCAGAACAAAGGAUGAUGGGAAAAUGGUUUCAGUCACUGAUUAUUUCAUUAUCCUUAAACUCACUCGCCCGUCAUCCCUCCCCAACCCCAAUCUACACGAUCUUUAAGAUCAAGAAAAAGGUUUAAAUAUUUUAAAA